rnacentral:rRNA from 1 species
AUUGAACGCUGGCGGCAUGCUUUACACAUGCAAGUCGAACGGCAGCACGGACUUCGGUCUGGUGGCGAGUGGCGAACGGGUGAGUAAUACAUCGGAACGUGCCCAGUUGUGGGGGAUAACUACUCGAAAGAGUAGCUAAUACCGCAUGAGAACUGAGGUUGAAAGCAGGGGAUCGUAAGACCUUGCGCAACUGGAGCGGCCGAUGGCAGAUUAGGUAGUUGGUGGGAUAAAAGCUUACCAAGCCGACGAUCUGUAGCUGGUCUGAGAGGACGACCAGCCACACUGGGACUGAGACACGGCCCAGACUCCUACGGGAGGCAGCAGUGGGGAAUUUUGGACAAUGGGCGAAAGCCUGAUCCAGCAAUGCCGCGUGCAGGAUGAAGGCCCUCGGGUUGUAAACUGCUUUUGUACGGAACGAAAAGCUUCGGGUUAAUACCCUGGAGUCAUGACGGUACCGUAAGAAUAAGCACCGGCUAACUACGUGCCAGCCGCCGCCGUAA